rnacentral:rRNA from 1 species
ACGUAGGGUGCAGGCGUUAAUCGGAAUUACUGGGCGUAAAGCGUGCGCAGGCGGUCUCUUAAGACAGGUGUGAAAUCCCCGGGCUUAACCUGGGAACUGCGCUUGUAACUGAGAGGCUUGAGUGCGGCAGAGGGGGGUGGAAUUCCGCGUGUAGCAGUGAAAUGCGUAGAGAUGCGGCGGAACACCGAUGGCGAAGGCAGCCCCCUGGGCUGAGAUUGACGCUCAGGCACGAAAGCGUGGGGAGCAAACAGGA